rnacentral:lncRNA from 1 species
UGGGAAACUGCCAUUGACCUCAGGUCACACUGUUAAACCAUACUGUAAACUGCAGCUGCUUAGGAGCUGAUUCACAUCCCUUUCAUCCUUUCCACUGAAACCUUGAGGGAUACUUUCGGUGUCCUUGCUUCAUCUGCCAUUGCUUCUGGGUCAAUCUGAAAUCAGGAAUGAAGUUCUCCUGCAGAAGAAGAAGAGGGUGCUCCACUUCACCCACUUGAGAAAAGGUUUUCUGCUAUUGUGAAGGAGAAAAAGAGCAGGAGACCCAGGAAG